UGAGGAAUAUUGGGCAAUGGGGGCAACCCUGACCCAGCAAUGCCGCGUGCAGGAUGAGGCCCCUCGGGGUGUAAACUGCUUUUGUGAGGGAGCAGAUCAAGGAGCGUACCUCACGAAUAAGUCACGGCUAACUACGUGCCAGCAGCCGCGGUAAUACGUAGGUGGCGAACGUUAUCCGGAGUGACUGGGUGUAAAGGGUCCGUAGGCGGGAGGACAAGUCUGACGUGAAAGCGCCCGGCUCAACUGGGCGAGUGCGUUGGAAACUGUCUUUCUUGAAUCACGCAGAGGUCGGCGGAAUUCCCGGUGUAGUGGUGGAAUGCGUAGAGAUCGGGAGGAACCUCGAAAGCGAAGGCAGCCGACUGGGGGAUGAUUGACGCUGAGGGACGAAAGCGUGGGGAGCGAA
rnacentral:rRNA from 1 species